rnacentral:rRNA from 1 species
AUUGAACGCUGGCGGCAGGCCUAACACAUGCAAGUCGAACGAGUGGCGGACGGGUGAGUAAUGUCUGGGAAAGUGCCUGAUGGAGGGGGAUAACUACUGGAAACGGUAGCUAAUACCGCAUACCAUCAGAUGUGCCCAGAUGGGAUUAGCUUGUUGGUGGGGUAACGGCUAACCAAGGCGACGAUCCCUAGCUGGGCUGAGAUGAUGACCAGCCACACUGGAUCUGAGACACGGUCCAGACUCCUACGGGAGUCAGCAGUGGGGAAUAUUGCACAAUGGGCGCAAGCCUGAUGCAGCCAUGCCGCGUGUAUGAAGAAGGCCUUCGGGUUGUAAAGCACUUUCAGCGAGGAGGCGUUACUCGCAGAAGAAGCACCGGCUAACUCCGUGCCAGCCGCCGCGGUAAUAC